AAAACCUAUAUAAACUGGCGGCAUUUCAUCUUACUAGAGGAACAUGUUAUUUAAUCGACAACACACGUUUAAUUUUACUUAUUUUAAAAUUUUAUAUACCUCCAUCCACAAAUUUAUUUUAAAAUAUUUUUAAAAGAAACAUCUAAAAGGUUAGGUAAAGGUGUAAACUAUAAAUAAGAGUAUAAUGUGUUACAUUAAACAUAAUUUAAGGAUUUCUCUCAAAAAAAAGAAUAAAAAGGGAUUUAUAAGUAAUAUUAACAUAAUAUUUUAAUGUGAAUAAGAAAAUAAAUGUGC
rnacentral:rRNA from 1 species